AGUGAACGCUGGCGGUAGGCCUAACACAUGCAAGUCGAACGGCAGCACAGAGGAGCUUGCUCCUUGGGUGGCGAGUGGCGGACGGGUGAGGAAUACAUCGGAAUCUACCUUGUCGUGGGGGAUAACGUAGGGAAACUUACGCUAAUACCGCAUACGGACCCCAUACCGAGAGGUAUAAGGUGAAAGUAGGGGAUCGCAAGACCUUACGCGAUUGGAUGAGCCGAUGUCGGAUUAGCUAGUUGGCGGGGUAAAGCCCACCAAGGCGACGAUCCGUAGCUGGUCUGAGAGGAUGAUCAGCCACACUGGAACUGAGGACACGGUCCAGACUCCUACGGGAGGCAGCAGUGGGGAAUAUUGGACAAUGGGGCAACCCUGAUCCAGCGACGCCGCGUGGGUGAAGAAGGCCUGCGGGUUGUAAAGCCC
rnacentral:rRNA from 1 species